rnacentral:rRNA from 1 species
UUCGCAAUGCCCGAAAGGGUGACGAAGCGACGCCGCGUGUGGGAAGAAGGCCUUCGGGUUGUAAACCACUGUCGGGAGUUAGGAAAUGUAAGGGCGUUAAUAGUAUCCUUACUUGACUAAGGCUCCGGAGGAAGCCACGGCUAACUCUGUGCCAGCAGCCGCGGUAAUACAGAGGCGGCAAGCGUUGUUCGGAAUUAUUGGGCGUAAAGAGCACGUAGGCGGCCUUGUAAGUCAGUUGUGAAAGCCUUCUGCUUAACGGAAGAACAGCAGCUGAUACUGCAAGGCUAGAGUGCGGAAGGGGAGAGUGGAACUUCUGGUGGAGCGGUGAAAUGCGUAGAUAUCAGAAGGAACACCGGCGGCGAAGGCGACUCUCUGGUCCGUAACUGACGCUGAGUGUGCGAAAGCUAGGGGAGCGAACGGGAUUAGAUACCCCGGUAGUCCUAGCCGUAAAC